UACGAAGGGGGCUAGCGUUGCUCGGAAUCACUGGGCGUAAAGCGCACGUAGGCGGCUUGUUAAGUCAGGGGUGAAAUCCUGGAGCUCAACUCCAGAACUGCCUUUGAUACUGGCGAGCUUGAGUUCGGGAGAGGUGAGUGGAACUGCGAGUGUAGAGGUGAAAUUCGUAGAUAUUCGCAAGAACACCAGUGGCGAAGGCGGCUCACUGGCCCGAUACUGACGCUGAGGUGCGAAAGCGUGGGGAGCAAACAGA
rnacentral:rRNA from 1 species